rnacentral:rRNA from 1 species
UGGCGCACGGGUGAGUAACGCGUGGGUAACUGCCCUUGAAUUGGGGAUAACUCCGCGAAAGCGGGGCUAAUACCGAAUCAUAUUCCCCAAGGCAAAGGUGCAUUUAAGGAUGGGCCCGCGUACCAUUAGCUAGUUGGUAGGGUAAUGGCCUACCAAGGCAACGAUGGUUAGCUGGUCUAAGAGGAUGGCCAGCCACACUGGAACUGAGACACGGUCCAUACUCCUACGGGAGGCAGCAGUGGGGAAUCUUGCGCAAUGGGGGAAACCCUGACGCAGCAACGCCGCGUGGGUGAUGAAGGUCUUCGGGUCGUAAAGCCCUGUCAGGUGGGAAGAAUGACGGUACUACCGGAGGAAGCACCGGCUAACUCCGUGCCAGCAGCCGCGGUA